rnacentral:rRNA from 1 species
GACGAACGCUGGCGGCGUGCUUAACACAUGCAAGUCGAACGGAAAGGCCCUGCUUUUGUGGGGUGCUCGAGUGGCGAACGGGUGAGUAACACGUGAGUAACCUGCCCUUGACUUUGGGAUAACUUCAGGAAACUGGGUCUAAUACCGGAUAGGAGCUCCUGCUGCAUGGUGGGGGUUGGAAAGUUUCGGCGGUUGGGGAUGGACUCGCGGCUUAUCAGCUUGUUGGUGGGGUAGUGGCUUACCAAGGCUUUGACGGGUAGCCGGCCUGGGAGGGUGACCGGCCAAAUUGGGACUGAGAUGCGGCCCAGACUCCAACGGGAGGGAGCAGUGGGGAAUAUUGCACAAUGGGCGGAAGCCUGAUGCAGCAACGCCGCGUGCGGGAUGACGGCCUUCGGGUUGUAAACCGCUUUCGCCUGUGACGAAGCGUGAGUGACGGUAAUGGGUAAAGAAGCACCGGCUAACUCCGUG